rnacentral:lncRNA from 1 species
UGGCGGCAAACCCUCUUCUGGAAGGCAUUGGAAACUGUCACACCCCCAAAUAUAUAACUUUUGACGAGAAGUGAGGUUUUGAAGUAGACCUUCUCCUGGCAAAUACUCCAGACCUGGGCAGCUUUCAGUUCAUAGCUCUUGAAGAGAAGUGAGGUGUCGAAGUCCCUUUCUGUCCAUUGAUUCCAAGUAGUUUGGACAGAUCACAAGUGCUUAAAUUGUUUCAUGGCUAUUCUAAUGUCCUCGCCUGCAAAACCGGGUGCUCCAUUUUAUGACUGACUUGUGUUGUUGGAAUUUGAACAAGUGAAGUAUGUGGAAGCAGCAUUGCAUCAUAAAGAUGUCGGGUCUGUGCAGCUGUGCUACUUCGUGUCACCUUUAGGCAAGCCUUUGUACCCUGUGGUGGAGAAAAGCAUCUCACUGUAUUAAAAAAUGGAGAACAUUCAACCACAUGAACUUUUAUUUCACACCUUGUUCGCUAAAUUUUAUGUUGAUGAUGAAGAAAAAGAACGAAAGGAAAAGAAAAGUGAGAAAGCACACCUCCACAUCUUCUGCUAAAAGAUCUAAUUACGUGCGGCUUUCCAUUUUUGCUGCGAAUUUAUGGCCAGGUUUACAAGAGCAUAACAUAUCUCCGCAAGCUUGAUGGUCCCUGAAUAAAGAAAAUGAGACAACCUGCCAACGCAGAAGGAGGGAAGUACAGAUGCGAGUUUGUGCCACCCAUAUUAGGCUUCUGUAGUUCAAAAAUCAACAUUUCGAGUCCUCCUGUAAUUAGAGGUUUACCUCCAUCUGUUUUCACACACUCCUACUACAUAUGAAAUUUUGAAAUGCCUGCUUCUUGUGAUAGCUAUUCAACAUGGAUGCCAUCUCGGAUGCUUUUGCCUUACAUAUCAGCUCAACAAACUCCUAAAUACAGAGAUGAAAGUAAAAUUCAAUGGGCACAUUGAUGAUAAAGAAUGAACAAAACUAACUAUUACGGUUUCAAAUAGAUCCAAUUAUUGUUGCUUCGUAAAUUAAUUCUCUCUAAGAAGUCUAUGAUUUGUAAAUUAUAUUAACAUGAUUUUUUUUUUAAAUGGUAUGCAAACUACAUAAAACAGGGAUACUGUGAAGGAACAAAACUGAAACAUAUAUUCAGUUAAAAUUUGUUAAAACGAAGCAUCAUAUCCUCUGCAUAAGAUGGUCCAUGGUAAGAGAGAAUGUAAAAUAAAGCUCAUCUGCAGUAUUCAACUAAAGGUCUAUUACCAGUUCACAUUGUAAAGAAAAGCAUAGAUACACCAACUUGAAGAUGAUAAUGGCAUUGAAAGAAGAUGAGAUAGCAGGCCACCGUAUUCAAACCAUGCCCAUAUGACAAAGAAAUAUAUCAUCCCGGGGUUCCAUCAUCUUCCUUUAGAGGUGCAUCAUUUUCAAGCCAAAAAUGCUUAGUAAAUUGAUGUGAGCUAACAUCCGUCGCCUCAGACAAUCGCCUCUUAAGUUCCACAAUAAGGAUU